AAUUUUCAACGGUGGAUAUCUAGGUUCCCGUGACGAUGAAGAACGCAGCGAAAUGCGAUACGCAAUGCGAAUUGCAGAACCGCGAGUCAUCAGAUCUUUGAACGCAAGUGGUGGAGGUGUAAAAACCUUCAUGUUUGUUUCAGUGUGG
rnacentral:rRNA from 1 species